rnacentral:rRNA from 1 species
UACGGGAGGCAGCAGGGGGGAAUAUUGCACAAUGGGCGCAAGCCUGAUGCAGCCAUGCCGCGUGUAUGAAGAAGGCCUUCGGGUUGUAAAGUACUUUCAGUCGUGAGGAAGGUGUUAAGGUUAAUAACCUUAGCAAUUGACGUUAGCGACAGAAGAAGCACCGGCUAACUCCGUGCCAGCAGCCGCGGUAAUACGGAGGGUGCGAGCGUUAAUCGGAAUUACUGGGCGUAAAGGGCACGCAGGCGGUUAAUUAAGUUGGAUGUGAAAUCCCCGGGCUUAACCUGGGAAUGGCAUUCAAGACUGGUUAGCUAGAGUCUUGUAGAGGGGGUAGAAUUCCAUGUGUAGCGGUGAAAUGCGUAGAGAUGUGGAGGAAUACCGGUGGCGAAGGCGGCCCCUGGACAAAGCUGGGCGCUCAUGUGCGAAAGCGUGGGGAGCAAACG